AACGAACGCUGGCGGCAUGCCUAACACAUGCAAGUCGAACGAGACCUUCGGGUCUAGUGGCGCACGGGGGCGUAACGCGUGGGAACCUGCCCUUAGGUUCGGAAUAACUCCCCGAAAGGGGUGCUAAUACCGGAUAAUGUCUUCGGACCAAAGAUUUAUCGCCUUCGGAUGGGCCCGCGUUGGAUUAGCUAGUUGGUAGGGUAAAAGCCUACCAAGGCGACGAUCCAUAGCUGGUCUGAGAGGAUGAUCAGCCACACUGGGACUGAGACACGGCCCAGACUCCUACGGGAGGCAGCAGUGGGGAAUAUUGGACGAGGGGCGAAAGCCUGAUCCAGCAAUGCCGCGUGAGUGAUGAAGGCCUUAGGGUUGUAAAGCUCUUUUACCCGGGAUGAUAAUGACAGUACCGGGAGAAUAAGCUCCGGCUAACUCCGUG
rnacentral:rRNA from 1 species